rnacentral:rRNA from 1 species
UACGGAGGAUCCAAGCGUUAUCCGGAAUUACUGGGCGUAAAGAGUUGCGUAGGUGGCAUGGUAAUUUGGUAGUGAAAGCGUGCGGCUCAACCGCAUACACAUUAUCAAAACUGCCAAGCUAGAGGACAAGAGAGGUUAUUGGAAUUCCUAGUGUAGGAGUGAAAUCCGUAGAUAUUAGGAGGAACACCGAUGGCGUAGGCAGAUAACUGGCUUGUUCCUGACACUAAGGCACGAAAGCGUGGGUAGCAAACGGG